rnacentral:rRNA from 1 species
AUUGACCUCGGAUCAGGUAGGGAUACCCGCUGAACUUAAGCAUAUCAAUAAGCGGAGGAAAAGAAACCAACAGGGAUUGCCCUAGUAACGGCGAGUGAAGCGGCAACAGCUCAAAUUUGAAAUCUGGCUCCUUUGGGGUCCGAGUUGUAAUUUGUAGAGGGUGCUUUGGCGUUGGUUGUGGUCUAAGUUCCUUGGAACAGGACGUCACAGAGGGUGAGAAUCCCGUACGUGGCCGCCAGCCUUCGCCGUGUAAAGCCCCUUCGAUGAGUCGAGUUGUUUGGGAAUGCAGCUCUAAAUGGGAGGUAAAUUUCUUCUAAAGCUAAAUAUUUGCCAGAGACCGAUAGCGCACAAGUAGAGUGAUCGAAAGAUGAAAAGCACUUUGGAAAGAGAGUCAAAAAGCACGUGAAAUUGUUGAAAGGGAAGCGCUUGCAGCUAGACGUGCCUUGGGUUGAUCAGCCGGACUUUUGCCCGGUGCACUCUUCCUUUGGCAGGCCAGCAUCAGUUUGGGCGGCUGGAUAAAGGUCUGUUAAACGUGACUUCCUUCGGGGAGAGCUUAUAGGGCAGACGACAUGCAGCCAGCCUGAACUGAGGUCCGCGCAUCUGCUAGGAUGCUGGCAUAAUAGCUGUAAGCGGCCCGUCUUGAAACACGGACCAAGGAGUCUAACAUCUAUGCGAGUGUUUGGGUGUCAAGCCCGAGCGCGUAAUGAAAGUAAACGGAGGUGGGAACCUUUUAGGUGCACCAUCGACCGAUCUUGAUGUCUUCGGAUGGAUUUGAGUAAGAGCAUAGCUGUUGGGACCCGAAAGAUGGUGAACUAUGCCUGAAUAGGGUGAAGCCAGAGGAAACUCUGGUGGAGGCUCGCAGCGGUUCUGACGUGCAAAUCGAUCGUCAAAUUUGGGCAUAGGGGCGAAAGACUAAUCGAC